UACGAAGGGUGCAAGCGUUAAUCGGAAUUACUGGGCGUAAAGCGUGCGUAGGCGGUUGAUUAAGUCUGAUGUGAAAGCCCCGGGCUCAACCUGGGAAUUGCAUUGGAAACUGGUCGGCUAGAGUGCGGUAGAGGGUGGCGGAAUUCCCGGUGUAGCGGUGAAAUGCGUAGAGAUCGGGAGGAACAUCCGUGGCGAAGGCGGCCACCUGGACCAGCACUGACGCUGAGGCACGAAAGCGUGGGGAGCAAACAGG
rnacentral:rRNA from 1 species